ACAUGCAAGUCGAACGAGAACUAAUACUUCGGUGUAAGACGGAGGGGUAACCGGUAGGUAUCUUCCCUUUGAUCUGCCUUUGACGGGGGACCUUGUGCAAAAAUGGGUGCUAUCAUUGCGUAUAACCUUUUAUGCACCGGCUUCGGACGCUCUUAUUGGUUACCGCGUUGGAUUAGUUUGGUGCUAAGGUAACUUUGAUCAAUAGCUGAUUUGGUAGGAUGAUUUGACAGGUUGAUCCUGAGACACGGCCCAGACUCCUACGCCAGACUCCUACGGGAAAUCUUGCAGAAUGAAGGAAACUCUGGUGCAAAAGCCCGUUGCAGACGCGCUUGGAGCACGAGUGAAGCCUAACCUGUGAGGAACUCGUUGACUUGGCAUCAUCCCCGCCUUCCUCGGGUUAAACACCCCGGGUUUCCCCAGGGCGCUCGCCCGAAUCAUACGGAAGUAAGGAGCGGUGUUGGGAAUUAUGCGGCGUUUAACCCACGAUCUCGGGUAAUCAGCUGACGACAGAAAUGCCAGACCUUAACUCUGGAACUGCCAUCUGAACUGAUUGAUCUCUAAUUGCCACAACAUAAUGUGAUUCCUACUGUAAAGGUUAAUCUCGUAGAUAUUGAUAAAAACACCUGCGCCAACGGUUGUUUUCUGCGCCGUUUCUGACUCUGAGGUUCAAUCGUGCGACCGGACUCCCCAAGUAGAUAGCUUGGUGCUCUACCUACUACACGAAGAACGAUAUACCGACGACUAUAACUCUCCGUGUACGACGUGAAGUAUUAGCUAUCUAACCGUGUAUGAUACCCACGCUAUCAAACCUCAGCGGCAUAGAUGGCCCACAGCAUCAGCCGUCGCAGCAGGUGUUCUAUCUCAAUCUCUACGAGUAUCACCUCUACACUAUGAGAUCUGCUAUGCUCUGCAUUUCACAAAUCAAACCCUUCAGAUUUGCUGUACCUAGUACAGCUCCGGCAUGUCUGUCCUCACCUCAUGACCCGCUACUUGCGCUUUAGCCCCAAAAGAUCCGCAGCACCGUUGCUCCCUGCGUACUGACUCGUUACUGCUCUGGGAUACUCCCCAGCUACUACCGGAGUACGUCGUAUGUCCCUAGCCCAUCAUGUUUCUCUACCCGUAGGGCCUACUUCCCUGCCUGCAAUGAUU
rnacentral:rRNA from 1 species